rnacentral:rRNA from 1 species
CAGUCGCCACGGUAAAACGAAGGGUGCAAGCGUUAAUCGGAAUUACUGGGCGUAAAGCGCGCGUAGGUGGUUUGGUAAGAUGGAUGUGAAAUCCCCGGGCUCAACCUGGGAACUGCAUCCAUAACUGCCUGACUAGAGUACGGUAGAGGGUGGUGGAAUUUCCUGUGUAGCGGUGAAAUGCGUAGAUAUAGGAAGGAACACCAGUGGCGAAGGCGACCACCUGGACUGAUACUGACACUGAGGUGCGAAAGCGUGGGGAGCAAACAGGAUUAGAUACCCCUGUAGUCCCUGUCUCUUAUAC